rnacentral:rRNA from 1 species
GACGAACGCUGGCGGCGUGCUUAACACAUGCAAGUCGAACGGAAAGGCCCUGCUUUUGUGGGGUGCUCGAGUGGCGAACGGGUGAGUAACACGUGAGUAACCUGCCCUUGACUUUGGGAUAACUUCAGGAAACUGGGGCUAAUACCGGAUAGGAGCUCCUGCUGCAUGGUGGGGGUUGGAAAGUUUCGGCGGUUGGGGAUGGACUCGCGGCUUAUCAGCUUGUUGGUGGGGUAGUGGCUUACCAAGGCUUUGACGGGUAGCCGGCCUGAGAGGGUGACCGGCCACAUUGGGACUGAGGUACGGACCAGAGUCCUACGGGAGGCAGCAGUGGGGAAUAUUGCACAAUGGGCGGAAGCCUGAUGCAGCAACGCCGCGUGCGGGAUGACGGCCUUCGGGUUGUAAACCGCUUUCGCCUGUGACGAAGCGUGAGUGACGGUAAUGGGUAAAGAAGCACCGGCUAACUACGUG